rnacentral:rRNA from 1 species
AUUGAACGCUAGCGGCAUGCCUUACACAUGCAAGUCGAACGGCAGGCACGGGGGGCAACCCUGGUGGCGAGUGGCGAACGGGUGAGUAAUGCAUCGGAACGUGCCCAUCGAUGGGGGAUAACUGCGCGAAAGCGUUGCUAAUACCGCAUACGACCUACGGGUGAAAGCAGGGGACCGCAAGGCCUUGCGUCGAUGGAGCGGCCGAUGCCGGAUUAGCUAGUUGGUGAGGUAAAGGCUCACCAAGGCGACGAUCCGUAGCUGGUCUGAGAGGACGACCCAGCCACACUGGGACUGAGACACGGCCCAGACUCCUACGGGAGGCAGCAGUGGGGAAUCUUGGACAAUGGGCGAAAGCCUGAUCCAGCAAUGCCGCGUGUGGGAAGAAGGCCUUCGGGUUGUAAACCACUUUUGGCGGGAAAGAAAUGGUCUGUGCUAAUACCACGGAUUGAUGACGGUACCCGCAGAAUAAGCACCGGCUAACUACGUG